rnacentral:rRNA from 1 species
AGAGUUUGAUCCUGGCUCAGGAUGAACGCUAGCGGCAGGCUUAAUACAUGCAAGUCGAGGGGUAACAGGGAAGCUUGCUUCCGCUGACGACCGGCGCACGGGUGCGUAACGCGAAUGCAACCUACCUCCAACUGGGGAAUAGCCCCGAGAAAUCGGGAUUAAUACCCCAUAAUAUUCAUCAUUCGCAUGUUUGAUGAAUUAAAGUUUCGACGGUUAGAGAUGGGCAUGCGUGACAUUAGCUUGUUGGUGGGGUAACGGCUCACCAAGGCUGCGAUGUCUAGGGGUUCUGAGAGGAUUAUCCCCCACACUGGUACUGAGACACGGACCAGACUCCUACGGGAGGCAGCAGUAAGGAAUAUUGGUCAAUGGACGAAAGUCUGAACCAGCCAUGCCGCGUGCAGGAUGACUGCCCUAUGGGUUGUAAACUGCUUUUAUACAGGAAGAAACCUCUGCACGUGUGCAGGGCUGACGGUACUGUAUGAAUAAGCACCGGCUAACUCCGUGCCAGCAGCCGCGGUAAUACGGAGGGUGCAAGCGUUAUCCGGAUUUAUUGGGUUUAAAGGGUGCGCAGGCGGAAUGAUAAGUCAGUGGUGAAAGCCUACAGCUCAACUGUAGAACUGCCAUUGAUGCUGCCAUUCUUGAGUACAGUGGAAGUGGGUAAUGUAUCAUGUAGCGGUGAAAUGCAUAGAUAUGAUACAGAACGCCGAUAGCGUAAGCAGCUCACUAUACUGUAACUGACGCUCAGGCACGAAAGCGUGGGGAGCAAACAGGAUUAGAUACCCUGGUAGUCCACGCCGUAAACGAUGAUCACUCGUUGUUGGUAAUACACAGCCAGCGACUGAACGAAAGCAUUAAGUGAUCCACCUGGGAAGUACGAUCGCAAGGUUGAAACUCAAAGGAAUUGACGGGGGCCCGCACAAGCGGAGGAGCAUGUGGUUUAAUUCGAUGAUACGCGAGGAACCUUACCUGGGCUUAAAUGCAGAACGACCUCCACCGAAAGGUGGAUUCCCUUCGGGGCGAUUUGCAAGGUGCUGCAUGGUUGUCGUCAGCUCGUGCCGUGAGGUGUCGGGUUAAGUCCCAUAACGAGCGCAACCCCUAUUCUUAGUUGCCAUCAGGUAAUGCUGGGGACUCUAAGAAAACUGCCUACGCAAGUAGUGAGGAAGGUGGGGAUGACGUCAAAUCAGCACGGCCCUUAUGUCCAGGGCUACACACGUGCUACAAUGGUCGGUACAGAGGGUCGCUACCUAGUGAUAGGAUGCUAAUCUCGAAAACCGAUCUCAGUUCGGAUCGAAGUCUGCAACUCGACUUCGUGAAGCUGGAUUCGCUAGUAAUCGCAUAUCAGCAAUGGUGCGGUGAAUACGUUCCCGGGCCUUGUACACACCGCCCGUCAAGCCAUGGAAGCUGGGGGUACCUGAAGUCUGUUACCGCAAGGAGCGGCCUAGGGUAAAACUAGUAACUGGU